rnacentral:tRNA from 1 species
GGAAGGGUGGCCGAGUGGUUUAUGGCGCUGUACUGAAAAUACAGUAAUCGAGUUUUCGAUUCAGGGGUUCGAAUCCCCUUCCUUGGU